rnacentral:rRNA from 1 species
GCUUAUUCUGAACACCCACUUUCUCAAAGCCCGAUCCCAUCUGAUCUCAGAAGCUAAGCAGGGUUGGGCCUGGAUAGUACUUGGACGGGAGACCACGUAGAAAUACCAGGUGCUGUAGGCG